rnacentral:rRNA from 1 species
UACGAAGGGGGCUAGCGUUGUUCGGAAUUACUGGGCGUAAAGGGCGCGUAGGCGGCUUGGCAAGUUGGGUGUGAAAGCCCAGGGCUCAACCCUGGAAUUGCACUCAAGACUGCUUUGCUUGAAUUCGGUAGAGGUUGGUGGAAUUCCCAGUGUAGAGGUGAAAUUCGUAGAGAUUGGGAAGAACACCCGUGGCGAAGGCGGCCAACUGGACCGACAUUGACGCUGAGGCGCGAAAGCGUGGGGAUCAAACAGG